rnacentral:snRNA from 1 species
AGCCUUGCGCUCGGGCAAUACAGCGAGCAAUGAGGCUUAGCCGAGCUGCUGUUAUUGCUGAUUGAAAACUUUUACCAAUUACCCGCCUGGGAAAUUCUUCUAUUCAAUUAUA